rnacentral:rRNA from 1 species
GACGAACGCUGGCGGCGUGCUUAACACAUGCAAGUCGAACGGAGUUUAAAUCAGUAGUUUACUACAGAUUUAAACUUAGUGGCGGACGGGUGAGUAACACGUGGGUAACCUGCCCAUAAGAGGGGGAUAACAUCCGGAAACGGGUGCUAAUACCGCAUAGGUUUCUUGGUCGCAUGAUCGAGAAAGGAAGACGGCCUUUGUGCUGUCGCUUUAUGGGAUGGGACCCCGNGGCGUAUUAGUUAGUUGGUGAGGUAAUGGCUCACCAAGACGAUGAUACGUAGCCGACCUGAGAGGGUGAUCGG